rnacentral:rRNA from 1 species
GCUUGUUGGUGGGGUAAUGGCCCACCAAGGCGACGAUGGUUAGCUGGUCUGAGAGGAUGAUCAGCCACACUGGAACUGACACGCGGGCCAGACUCCUACGGGAAGCAGCAGUGAGGAAUUUGCGCAAUGGGGGAACCCUGACGCACAACGCCGCGUAGAGUGAUGAAGGCUUACGGGUCGUACAGCUCUGUUGGGUGAGAAGAACCCGUUUUUGUGAACAAUACCACAAAGCGCUGACGGUACCACUUGAGGAAGCACCGGCUACCUCCGUGCCAGCAGCCGCGGUAAUACGGAGGGGAGCAAGCGUAAUACGGAAUUAUUGGGCGUAAAGCGCGCGUAGGCGGGACGGUAAGUCAGCUGUGAAAGCCCAUGGUUCAACCAUGGAAGUGCAGUUGAUACUAUCGAACUUGCGUAUGGGAGAGGGCACGCGGAAUCCAUGGUGUAGCGGUGACAUGCGGAGAUUAUCAGGAGGAACACCGGGGGACGAAGGCGGGUUCCUGGACCCAUUAUUGCCGCUCAGGCGCGAAAGGCGUGGGGAGCAAAACAGGAUUAGAUACCCUGCUAGUCCACGCAGUAAACGGUGAUCACUUAGGUGUAGCGGGUAUGGACCCCUUCUGUCCCGCAGUCAACGCAUUAAGUGAUCCCGCCUGGGGAGUACGGCCGCAAGGUUAAGACUCAAAGGAAUUGACGGGGGCCCGCACAAGCGGUGGAGCAUGUGGUUUAAUUCGACGCAACGCGAAGAACCUUACCUGGGCUUGACAUCCCGGGAAUUUCCCGGAAACAGGAAAGUGCCCUCCGGGGAGCCUGGUGACAGGUGCUGCAUGGCUGUCGUCAGCUCGUGUCGUGAGAUGUUGGGUUAAGUCCCGCAACGAGCGCAACCCUUAUCUUCAGUUACCAGCAUUUCGGGUGGGGACUCUGAAGAUACUGCCCCGGUCAACGGGGAGGAAGGUGGGGAUGACGUCAAGUCCUCAUGGCCUUUAUGCCCAGGGCUACACACGUGCUACAAUGGACGGUACAAAGGGUCGCUACCUCGCGAGAGCCAGCCAAUCCCAAAAAGCCGUCCUCAGUUCGGAUCGGAGUCUGCAACUCGACUCCGUGAAGUCGGAAUCGCUAGUAAUCGCGGAUCAGCAUGCCGCGCUGAAUACGUUCCCGGGCCUUGUACACACCGCCCGUCACACCAUGAGAGUUGUUGUACCCGAAGUUGCCGGGC